rnacentral:rRNA from 1 species
GGGCCCGCACAAGCGGUGGAGCAUGUGGCUUAAUUCGAGGCAACGCGAAGAACCUUACCUGGACUUGAAAUAUAUAGGACAGUCUAUGAAAGUAGAUCUUCCUUCGGGACCUUUAUACAGGUGCUGCAUGGCUGUCGUCAGCUCGUGCUGUGAGGUGUUCGGUUAAGUCCGGCAACGAGCGCAACCCGUGUCAUUAGUUACCAGCGGAUAAAGCCGGGGACUCUAAUGAGACUGCCCGUGUUAAGCGGGAGGAAGGCGCGGAUGACGUCAAGUCAGUAUGGCCCUUACGUCCAGGGCUGCACACGUGCUACAAUGGCCGGUACAAUGGGACGCAAAACUGCGAAGUGGAGCAAAUCCACAAAACCGGUCUUAGUUCGGAUUGUAGUCUGCAACUCGACUACAUGAAGUUGGAAUCGCUAGUAAAGGCGUAUCAGCUACGACGCCUUGAAUACGUUCCCGGGCCUU